GGGUCUCGGGAAUUUUAAUGCAAAAUUCCUGCAUUCUGGGAGACUACUUGGUAGUGAUGUCUAUGUUUAUUUAACUCGAAAGAUGUUUAAAAAAAAACUUGAAGAUCUACACGAAAUGUUUUUUUUUUUGGGUUUUGUUGUACACGUUAUUUUCAAUCGGGUUAAGGCUAUGCUCGAAUUGUUUCCCCCCCCCCUUUCAAAAAUCUAAUGGUCCGUUCUUUAAAUAUUAUUUGACAGUAAACCAAUUGAUAUUGUCGACUGUAUACAGCUAUUUCAACUAAGGCUGUCCCCGAGCAAAGCGAAAGAGUCCAAUACAUGCGCGAAAGGCUUGGUGGGAAUCGCUAAAAAUUCAAUUAAGGUUGUCCCCGAGCAUAACGGAAAAGUUGAAUACGAGCGCGAAAGCACUUUGUACUAACGUAUCCCAUUCUGGAAGGCAAAAUAAAGAGGCUCGUUGUUCUUGGAGCAACUUUCUGGUGAUUGACAGUACAAUACUAGGCAUAUUCAUAAUCUUCCUUUCUUUGCUUUAUGGAACGUGUCAUUUAUUUCCUUUGGAUGCAAAGCCGACACUAUGAUUUGGCUUAUAGAAAUGCACCAUUACCAAAAUAAACUGAGCAAUUUCUAAUUCUAUAGACCAUCUGAAGAUAUACAGUCUACCAUCAUAGUAGGUUAUCAGUCGGUUUAAAUCCAGUGUUGUUAAAAGAUCAGUAAAUAAAACUGGGAGGCGAAGCGUAAUUUAAAAAUUGCAAUUUUGUAGAAAUUUAUAAAUAAUUGCUACGGUAUAUAGUAGAUGUAUUUUUAUAGUAGUAGUUCCUAUAUAGUAAUUCCUGUUGUCUAUGUUUAUGAAAAAUUUGGAUUAAAUAUUUCUGUUGAAAUGAAUGUCCC